AUGCGUUGUUGGGUAGGGGAGCGUUCUGUAAGCCUGCGAAGGUGUGCUGUGAGGCAUGCUGGAGGUAUCAGAAGUGCGAAUGCUGACAUAAGUAACGAUAAAGCGGGUGAAAAGCCCGCUCGCCGGAAGACCAAGGGUUCCUGUCCAACGUUAAUCGGGGCAGGGUGAGUCGACCCCUAAGGCGAGGCCGAAAGGCGUAGUCGAUGGGAAACAGGUUAAUAUUCCUGUACUUGGUGUUACUGCGAAGGGGGGACGGAGAAGGCUAUGUUGGCCGGGCGACGGUUGUCCCGGUUUAAGCGUGUAGGCUGGUUUUCCAGGCAAAUCCGGAAAAUCAAGGCUGAGGCGUGAUGACGAGGCACUGCGGUGCUGAAGCAACAAAUGCCCUGCUUCCAGGAAAAGCCUCUAAGCAUCAGGUAACAUCAAAUCGUACCCCAAACCGACACAGGUGGUCAGGUAGAGAAUACCAAGGCGCUUGAGAGAACUCGGGUGAAGGAACUAGGCAAAAUGGUGCCGUAACUUCGGGAGAAGGCACGCUGAUAUGUAGGUGAAGUCCCUCGCGGAUGGAGCUGAAAUCAGUCGAAGAUACCAGCUGGCUGCAACUGUUUAUUAAAAACACAGCACUGUGCAAACACGAAAGUGGACGUAUACGGUGUGACGCCUGCCCGGUGCCGGAAGGUUAAUUGAUGGGGUUAGCGCAAGCGAAGCUCUUGAUCGAAGCCCCGGUAAACGGCGGCCGUAACUAUAACGGUCCUAAGGUAGCGAAAUUCCUUGUCGGGUAAGUUCCGACCUGCACGAAUGGCGUAAUGAUGGCCAGGCUGUCUCCACCCGAGACUCAGUGAAAUUGAACUCGCUGUGAAGAUGCAGUGUACCCGCGGCAAGACGGAAAGACCCCGUGAACCUUUACUAUAGCUUGACACUGAACAUUGAGCCUUGAUGUGUAGGAUAGGUGGGAGGCUUUGAAGUGUGGACGCCAGUCUGCAUGGAGCCGACCUUGAAAUACCACCCUUUAAUGUUUGAUGUUCUAACGUUGACCCGUAAUCCGGGUUGCGGACAGUGUCUGGUGGGUAGUUUGACUGGGGCGGUCUCCUCCUAAAGAGUAACGGAGGAGCACGAAGGUUGGCUAAUCCUGGUCGGACAUCAGGAGGUUAGUGCAAUGGCAUAAGCCAGCUUGACUGCGAGCGUGACGGCGCGAGCAGGUGCGAAAGCAGGUCAUAGUGAUCCGGUGGUUCUGAAUGGAAGGGCCAUCGCUCAACGGAUAAAAGGUACUCCGGGGAUAACAGGCUGAUACCGCCCAAGAGUUCAUAUCGACGGCGGUGUUUGGCACCUCGAUGUCGGCUCAUCACAUCCUGGGGCUGAAGUAGGUCCCAAGGGUAUGGCUGUUCGCCAUUUAAAGUGGUACGCGAGCUGGGUUUAGAACGUCGUGAGACAGUUCGGUCCCUAUCUGCCGUGGGCGCUGGAGAACUGAGGGGGGCUGCUCCUAGUACGAGAGGACCGGAGUGGACGCAUCACUGGUGUUCGGGUUGUCAUGCCAAUGGCACUGCCCGGUAGCUAAAUGCGGAAGAGAUAAGUGCUGAAAGCAUCUAAGCACGAAACUUGCCCCGAGAUGAGUUCUCCCUGACUCCUUGAGAGUCCUGAAGGAACGUUGAAGACGACGACGUUGAUAGGCCGGGUGUGUAAGCGCAGCGAUGCGUUGAGCUAACCGGUACUAAUGAACCGUGAGG
rnacentral:rRNA from 1 species